CAGUUCCACAUGUAUAAUAUUCUUCCAGUCCACAAUGCUGAACCAUGAUUGGAUGAGUGUUUGAGGUCUGUUUUUCAACAGGACUUUGAAGGCACUAUGGAGCUCUCUAUUUUUGAUGAUGCCAGUAAGAACAAGUCUGGGACAACCACUGAAAAAUGGAGAGUCAAGUUAGGUUCCAAUAUCCUUGUGAUCACUGGAAGGUAUGAUUCUCCUUCUCCCUGAGGAAUUCAGUAUUCUAAAAAGGAAGCAAUUGCACAGAGCUUGGGGUCUUAACUUGGCUUUUUGGAU
rnacentral:lncRNA from 1 species